AUGGUCAUUUGGCAUGACAUUUUGUUCACUGUAAACAUGGUGAGUAAGAAGUUGCAGUCUAAGUUUGUGUGCAUUGAUGUUACUCUUAAACAUAUUGAAGGUGCCAUCUCAUAUUUUAAGAAGUACAGGAAUGACGACUUUGCAAGUAGUCUGGAUAUUGCGAGAUCUAUUGCAAUUGACAUGGGUGUACAACCUUUGUUUCCUGUCAAGAGACGUAUUACUAGAAAAAGACAGUUUGAUGAAAUUAGUGGCAAUGACAAAAAUAACCAGAAUGAAGAAACGCAAGCAAUUAAAUACUUUUGGGUGAUGAUUGAUGUUGCAAUUGCUUCCCUAACUACUAGAUUUGAGGAACUGAAGACAUUUGGGAGCAUAUUUGGUUUCUUGUUCAACUCAAAAGAGUUGAAGUCCUUGGGUGAUAAUGGUCUAAGAAGAUGUUGCACUAAUUUUGUCAACAAAUUCACUCAUGGUAAGUCAGCAGAUGUCGAUCUAGAUGAUUUCGUUUCUGAACUAAAAGUACUGCAGAUGACAUUGCCAAACACAUUCAUGUCAGCAGAUCAGAUAUUUGAGUUUGUUAGAGAUGCGGAUUGUUAUCUAAAUGUCUCAAUUGCUUAUCGUAUCAUUUUGAGCGUACCUGUGACUGUUGCAUCAGCUGAAAGGAGUUUAUCAAAAUUGAAACUAUUGAAAAAUUAUUUGAGGUCAACGAUGUGUCAAGAAAGAUUGAAUGGAUUGGCCAUGUGCUGCAUUGAGAAGAAUAUGCUGGAUAGUAUUGAUCUUGACACUCUCAUUGAUGAUUUUGCGUCAAAAAAUGCACGAAAGUCUCGUUUCACAUGA
rnacentral:rRNA from 1 species